GCCAAAAAUAUUGUUGCCCAUCAUGCUAAAGCUUAAUUUACAAUGUUAACAAUAAUGCUGUAGAAGGGUUUAAUAGCGCAGUAGCGAGAUUUGUUGGUUGAAAAAGGGUGAAUUUUUCUUUACGAGGAUCAUACAGUGCAAGAUGUAAUGCUGCAGUUUCAUCAUUUAAUUUUGGUCCAAAAUAUUUAAAUAAUUUUCAUAAAAAAGUUACAAAUGUAAGUCCUGGAAUAUACACUAAAAAAUUUAUAAGCAAUAUUGAUAAAAACCAGCAUAGGAGAGUUGGUCGACGUUUAAAUUUUGAUAAAUCCAGAAAAUUUGAGAAAAAACAAAAAUGUAUUGCUGGACCAGAUGAAGAUUAUGGAGCUGUAGACAUUGGAAUAGGUAUAAUUGAUAUGUCACCUGAAGAAUAUGACGCCAAAAAAAUUG